AACGAACGCUGGCGGCUUGCCUAACACAUGCAAGUCGAACGAGAUCUUCGGAUCUAGUGGCGCACGGGUGCGUAACGCGUGGGAAUCUGCCCCUUGCUUCGGAAUAACAGUGAGAAAUUACUGCUAAUACCGGAUGAUGUCUUCGGACCAAAGAUUUAUCGGCAAGGGAUGAGCCCGCGUAGGAUUAGGUAGUUGGUGGGGUAAUGGCCUACCAAGCCGACGAUCCUUAGCUGGUCUGAGAGGAUGAUCAGCCACACUGGGACUGAGACACGGCCCAGACUCCUACGGGAGGCAGCAGUGGGGAAUAUUGGACAAUGGGCGAAAGCCUGAUCCAGCAAUGCCGCGUGAGUGAUGAAGGCCUUAGGGUUGUAAAGCUCUUUUACCAGGGAUGAUAAUGACAGUACCUGGAGAAUAAGCUCCGGCUAACUCCGUG
rnacentral:rRNA from 1 species